GUAAAAUGAAAGUGUGAAUUCCUAGGUGUAGUUAUCAUAUGAUUCAGUCCUUCUAUCAUGAGUUCUGACUUGAUAGAGGUCAUGGAGAACUCGUCAGAUCCCAUCGUCAGUCAUAUACUAGUUUGGCUCGACUCAAGUUCUCUUGUGAAUACUGUGGAAACUCUUUUUCAGUAUUCACACUUGCUUUGGCUAAAGUCUUUCUUAACUCAAUCUUGCAAAUCGCAUAGAACUUCUCUUUUUCUAUCAAGAUCAAUAGAUUCCUUCUAGAUGCAUCCUACUUCUAACAGCGAACCUGAACCUACUAUAGCCAACA
rnacentral:lncRNA from 1 species